rnacentral:rRNA from 1 species
GAUGAACGCUGGCGGCGUGCCUAAUACAUGCAAGUCGAGCGAACGGACGAGAAGCUUGCUUCUCUGAUGUUAGCGGCGGACGGGUGAGUAACACGUGGAUAACCUACCUAUAAGACUGGGAUAACUUCGGGAAACCGGAGCUAAUACCGGAUGAUAUUUUGAACCGCAUGGUUCAAAAGUGAAAGACGGUCUUGCUGUCACUUAUAGAUGGAUCCGCGCUGCAUUAGCUAGUUGUUAAGGUAACGGCUUACCAAGGCAACGAUGCAUAGCCGACCGGGGAGGGUGAUCGGCCACACUGGAACGGGGCCACGGUCCAUACUCCUACGGGAGGCAGCAGUAGGGAAUCUGCCGCAAUGGGCGAAAGCCUGACGGAGCAACGCCGAGUGAGUGAUGAAGGUCUUCGGAUCGUAAAACUCUGUUAUUAGGGAAGAACAUAUGUGUAAGUAACUGUGCACAUCUUGACGGUACCUAAUCAGAAAGCCACGGCUAACUACGUG